UACGGAGGGGGCAAGCGUUGUUCGGAAUUACUGGGCGUAAAGGGCGCGCAGGCGGCUGCUCAAGUCAGGCGUGAAAGGCCUGGGCUCAACCCGGGAAUUGCGCUUGAGACUGGGCUGGCUUGAGUGCGGGAGAGGAUGGUGGAAUUCCCAGUGUAGAGGUGAAAUUCGUAGAUAUUCGGAAGAACACCAGUGGCGAAGGCGGCCCGCUGGGCAGUGGCUGACGCUGAGGCGCGACAGCGUGGGGAGCAAACAGG
rnacentral:rRNA from 1 species